UUUUGAAUUGUUUAACAGGUUAACCAGUUUCUUCACAUUUUUAUUAUUGUGUGUGUGAUCAGUAUUUUUGUUAAAUAUUUAUUUUAUAGUAUGAAAGAUAUAGACCAAUUAUGUGCAUUUUUUGUAUGUAGGAACCCAUUAGAGGACACACUCUGAUUAAAAAUUAAACAAUAAAAGAAGGUGUAUAUGUGCAGACAGGAUGAAGAAAAUAAGCAUUCUGAAGACUAUGUCCUUCCAUAUAAUUAUGAAGGAAGAGGAUCAUUGGCUGGUUCUGUAGGCUGCUGCACUGAUCAG